rnacentral:ncRNA from 2 species
AGCAGCCGCGGUAAUUCCAGCUCCAAUAGCGUAUAUUAAAGUUGUUGCAGUUAAAAAGCUCGUAGUUGAAUUUCGGGAUUGACACAUCGGUCGUGCCUUAAGGGGUAUGAACUGGUGUAGUCAAUUUCUCACCUUCUGGAGAACCGCGAUGCCCUUAAUUGGGUGUCGCGGGGAACCAGGACCUUUACUUUGAAAAAAUUAGAGUGUUUAAAGCAGGCAUUUUGCUUGAAUACAUUAGCAUGGAAUAAUAAAAUAGGACGGCAUGAUUCUAUUUUGUUGGUUUCUAGGAUCACCGUAAUGAUUAAUAGGGAUAGUUGGGGGCAUUAGUAUUCAAUUGUCAGAGGUGAAAUUCUUGGAUUUAUUGAAGACUAACUACUGCGAAAGCAUUUGCCAAGGAUGUUUUCAUUAAUCAAGAACGAAAGUUAGGGGAUCGAAGACGAUCAGAUACCGUCGUAGUCUUAACCAUAAACUAUGCCGACUAGGAAUCAGACGAUGUUAAUUUUUUAAUGACUCGUUUGGC